UCCCUGGUGGCCUAGUGGUUGGGACUUGGUGCUUUCACCGCCAUGGCCCAGGUUCAAUCCCUGGUCUGAGAA
rfam:Sus scrofa chromosome 6.